rnacentral:rRNA from 1 species
AUACGUAGGGUGCAAGCGUUAAUCGGAAUUACUGGGCGUAAAGCGUCCGUAGGUGGUUUGUUAAGUCAGGGGUGAAAUCCCAGGGCCCAACCCUGGAACUGCCUUUGAUACUGGCAAGCUGGAGCGCGAUAGAGGAAGAUGGAAUAUCUGGUGUAGGGGUGAAAUCCGUAGAUACCAGAUAGAACACCAAUGGCGAAGGCAGUCUUCUGGAUCGUCGCUGACACUGAGGGACGAAAGCGUGGGUAGCAAACAGAAUUAGAUACUCUGGUAGUCCGCGCCCUAAACGAUGCAUGCUUGUUGUUGGUUUCCUUCGGGAGACCAGUGACGGAGUUAACACUUUAAGCAUGCCGCCGGGGGACUACGAUUGCAAGAUUACAACUUAAAGGAAUUGACGGGG